rnacentral:rRNA from 1 species
UGGGGGAUAUUGCACAAUGGGCGAAAGCCUGAUGCAGCGACGCCGCGUGGGGGAUGAAGGCCUUCGGGUUGUAAACUUCUUUUGCUCUGAACAAGGCAUGCCUUUGGGGUGUGUCGCGUGUAGGGGUCGAUUAGCGCCGGCUAACUACGUGCCAGCAGCCGCGGUAAUACGUAGGGCGCGAGCGUUGUCCGGAAUUAUUGGGCGUAAAGGGCUUGUAGGUGGCUGGUUGCGUCUGUCGUGAAAGCUCAUGGCUUAACUGUGGGUUUGCGGUGGGUACGGGCUGGCUUGAGUGCAGUAGGGGAGGCUGGAAUUCCUGGUGUAGCGGUGGAAUGCGCAGAUAUCAGGAGGAAUACCGGUGGCGAAGACGGGUCUCUGGGCUGUUACUGACGCUGAGGAGCGAAAGCGUGGGGAGCGAACAGG